rfam:Gossypium arboreum cultivar AKA8401 contig_55761_3, whole genome shotgun sequence.
AUCCCAUGAUGAUGACACUUAUGCAAUAACUCCUUGAAUUGCUCCCAAGCCUUAUACAAAGACUCAUCAUCCAAUUGUUAGAAGGUUGUGAUCUCAUUCCUCAACUU